UUGAAAGACCCUUUCAGACCCUAGGUCUAUAAAGUGGCCCUAGAGAGAAGUUCUGCAAACUGAAAUCUAGACUGAAGACAGACAUGGCCUCCUUCAAGCUUGUGAUCCUUGUAUUCCUUCUGCUGCUCGGCACUGCAGCCAAAGGAAGAUUUGUGGAUCUAGAACAAGUGCAGGUGAAUCUGAAGGACACUGAUGAUGUUAUGGAUGAUGAUGCCUGUCAAGACUGCAUCCAUAUUAUUGAGCUCCUGAAACACCUGAUGUUAGAUGAACAGUUUCAGCAGGAUGACCUUCAGGUGAAGCUGAAGACCGCUCUGGAGGCGAUGUGCAACUCACUGCCUGAUGAAAUCUCAAAGAUGUGCCAUGAUCAGGUGGAGAGCAAGCUUCCUCUGGCCCUGACCUUCAUCACCAGCCUGAUGGUUCCUAAUGAUGUGUGUUCUUAUAUUGGCCUGUGUAAUGGCCAGUUGAGGGGCCAGAUGCAUGACCUGCUGAUGAAUCACAUGCAGAAGACCAUCAGGGUCCCCACUGCUACACUGAACUCCUCCAUUCCGUGCACUGUUUGCACAUAUAUCGUAGAUGUACUGCAAUGUCUCAUCCCCAAAACAGAGACUCUAAUAACCACUUUGCUCAGCGACGUGUGCCAGAUCCUCCCUCCGCUGGUGCGGGCCCAGUGUACAGGGAUAGUUAAGAAAUAUGUGAAGAUGUUGAUCAACAUCCUGCUGGGCAUCAUUUCCCCCGACUCCCUCUGCUCUGCCCUGCGUUUGUGUCCAAACAUGAAAACGUCUGACAGAGCAGUGUUUGCUCUCUCUGACUGCGACUCCUGUCUGACUCUGGUUGUUCUGACCCAUCGGAGUCUGGGCAACAAUGCCACAGAACUCCAGGCUGCCUCCUUCCUCCGCACCGUCUGCCAGUCUCACCCCGACGCCCUGCCAAAGUGUGAGAGCUUCACUCAGCGCCAUGGCAACCAGAUUCUGGGGCUUCUGGGUAAAGAGAUGACAGCUAUGGAAACAUGUGAGAGAGCAGAUCUAUGUGUGAAGGACAGGAGAGAUUCAGCUGCUGCAGGUGACCCCUGCACUCUGGGCCCCAGCUACAGCUGCAAAGACCAGCAGACUGCGGAGAAGUGUGGGAUGGCUGCCUUCUGUCAGAAGAACAUGUGGAACUAAAUACUGAAGUGCCCUUCACACGGCGGACUUUCAGCUUUUUUUUCAUCGCAAACUGCACGUCAGCCACUUAAAGCCUGAUGGUCUUACGAAAGCUCUGACCAGCGCUUCACCUCUUCUCCAAAACUUCUAUGGUUAUAUCUACUUUUCUAAUCUGGGCUACAAGUUCAAUCCGUGUCGUUGCCCGCACCACAAGUCAUUCUGGCCUCUGCUAUUGCUAAGACAAACAAGAUAAAGCAGCUUUGAUUUUGUGUGUAAACACGUUCUGUUGGAUGAGCCAACUGAGUUUACUAUGACCUGAGCACUGUUAUUGAUUUACCGGCAUUCACGUGAUCAGGGUUUUUCCUUUUUACAAUAACUUGCACAAUAACCAUUCACACCACUCAAGUCAAAGUCCUGACACAUGACUACACAUGGCAUGUUCAGGCAAACCAGCGUUAAGCCUUCGAAAUUCUAACCACCGGACACUGCUGCCACAAGCAGUACCUGACCAUUUUUUGCAUGUAAACUGCAUGAUGAGGGCCUACUGAGGGAUGUUUCUAGGUUUCUAGCUCUUUUUUUCAUCUUCUUAAACUUUGGAAAACCUACAGUGAUGUGUAGCAAAGUUUAUCAGCCCCAUCUAACCUAUUCAUCAUUGUAAAGGGACUGCCAUAGGACCACCACUGUCCAGACAUUUGGGUGGUGGACCAUUCUCAGUGACAGUGUGUGUUGCUCUGGUACGAGUGUCUCACAGUGGUGCUGCUGCUGUUGUGUAUAUGUCCGGCUCAGAAAUAUCUUCCCCACAGCCCCAGGACGUGUGGGCAGCUGAGGCAUGCGUUUUCUAUUGCGUCUGCCUUCAGAGCCUUCAUUUAUCAGCCUGGAGUAGGUCCAAAAGAGAUAUUUGCGGACAUAAAGGUUACAUUCCGCACGUCUGCAUUAAACAUCCGACUCAGCACUCGCAUUAUCACCCAGCAAUACCAGGAAAAAUCAGCCACGUCUCAGAACCAGCACUGCAGAGCAUGCAUUCCUUCAUGAAGCACAAAGAGGCGGGUCACUUUAACCUCUUACACUCCCUGUUUCCCAGACAUGGAUUAGGCCUAGUCUUCGACUGAACUGCAGUGCUGAUGGU